UAGCACGUCAGACAGGUGCUCUGCUUCUCUUUAAAGAACAUGGAUUUAUCCACACCAUGUGACAUGAAUGAAAUGAGAAGUUUUCAGGGCUGACAACCUUUCAGUGAAAGGUUUUGCGGUAGUAUAUUUCUUCCACAAUA
ensembl:snoRNA